UUUGACCCAGGCUGGCCUGUUAUCCCUGAAUCUGAGACCCAACCCAAAUAACACCAGCUUCAUCCCCACAUCUCCUCCGCCGCCACCCUCUCGCGCCACCCCCCGUCCCUGCCGCCGGCGGUGAUAGCUCCGACGCCGACCUCCGUCCGCCCGCCGCCCUAACCCCCGCCCUCGACCACAUCCCCCGACCUCGAGCUCCACAUCCCCGGCCCCUGCUUCUGCCACCGCCGCCCCUUUUCUCUCCCGCAAAGACCCUUGUCCAGAUCUAUCAGCCGCAGGCCCGUUUCAUUGGUGGGCAGCCGGUGGCCUUCGAGGUGCGUUCCCCGUCAUGUGCUAGGUGCCACACGCCUGGUCGCUGGUCGUCCUCAGAAUAGCUGUCGGCUCUCUCCCUCCUUCAUGUACGCAGGCCAGAUGAACUGUUCUUUGCUAGGUAAAGGGUCGAUGAUGGCAUCCGCAGUUGUUCUUCCAAACACGAGCAACAUCCUGUGUCUCUCAUAGAUCGACCUGCUAGUUUGCUUCAACUUGUGAGCUGUAUUGUUGGUAUCUACGUUGGAGUGAUUGAACAUGUCAUUAGUCUGAACCUAAACUGAUCCCUGCUUAGUUAGUCAGUCCCUUUGUUUAAGAUUAGGCUGUGGCAUUACGAAGGUUACUUGUUGGAUCUGUGGUGCUACUGAGAAGUGCACAAUCCAACCUUAUUUUAUUUCAGUUUCUAAUUUGUUGGUCAGAUCGAUGACUACAGGGAUGGGUUACUUCAAAUUUCUGAAUUAUAAGAUUGCAAGUUUCUGAAAUGUCGGUCUAGAUUGCAUGUGUAACCAGCUAUACAGAUGAUAUUGCUAGAAUUAGUAAAAAAUCUAGAGUACCACUUUUCUCGUAGCCCUUGGAUAAAAUUCAUAGAUUAUGGUGGACAAAUUAGUAGCCCUUGGAUAAAGUGGUAUGAUUGGAAAUAACCUGAACCCGCCUUCUUCAUGUGCGCUACCAGUACAUACAUAGCGGUAAAAAUCUCCCCCGGCCGUGUGCUAUGUCGCUUGAGGCUCGACCAGUUUCUCUGCUUAAGCGACACCACCCAAGAUCCUACUAAAUUGAUCUUGCUCAACUAAUCUGUCUACCAUAAUCUAUGAACUUUUCAUCAGCGUCCGUCAUGCGUCUCUUGCGAGGGAAAAAGAACAGAUCGGUGGUGUUUGGGAAAGGAUGACAUGCAAGCGCUUUGCGCAUAACAGGCCUGACGGCUGAAGCUAGUUUGAUUGGUGCGUUCCUAGCAAGACUGAUGUGUUGCGCUUCACAUCUGGGCAUGAAUGUGUGUAUCUCUAUCUUCUUUUAUUAACCGGUGAGUCUGUAUAGUGGGGUUUGCGUCGUCCUACAACUUUUGAUAAACAAACUUUCAAUAAUCCUUACUUUUUAGUAGCUGUCUAAAUAAAAUGUUUGUACUCCAUCUGUCCCGAAUUACUUAUCUUCAAUUUUUCUAGAUACUGAUGAAUCCAACACUAUCUAAAACAAGUAAAUUGGGAAGGAGUUAAUAUUAUUUUUGACAUUUUGGUUUUGCAGCUACAACUUUAAUGAGUAAUGUGUUUAAGUUUUUCAGUUACCGGCAGAUGUGAUAAAUAUUUCCAAUUAUUAUGAUGCAUCUAAUUCAGAUCUGUAAGUUUGAUCUCAAGGGUGAUAAAUUGUAAACCAUGUUGUUUAAUUUUCUUUACUUGUAUUAAAAUUUCCUCUUUCUAGUUUACUCUAUGUAUAUGUGGUCUUCUAAAUAGAGGGCAGGCCUGGCGCAGUGGUGAAGUCCUCCCCACUUGUGCCAAGAGGUCCUGGGUUCGAACCAGCCUCUCUGCAUUGCACUUUGCAGGGGUAAGACUAGGUUCCUAUAAUCCCUCCCCAGACCCCACCUUGUGUGGGAGCUUCUAUGCACUGGGUCUGUCCUUUAUAUGUGGUCUUCUAAAUAAUACUUCAAUUCAGUCACAUAUUUUCAAUGCCAACGGCAACAGGUAACAAAGGUAUGUGCGACAUGUAGUUGUAGCAUUACUAUGGCAGUGUGCGUGAAAGCAAGAUACUAUUUUUAUAACAACAUUUACUUUACCGUUGUGAUGUACUCCCUCCGUCCCAAAAUAAGUGACUCAACUUUGUACUAGCUCUAGUACAAAGUUAGUACUAAGUUGAGUCACUUAUUUUGUACAAAGUUGAGUCACUUAUUUUGGGACGGAGGGAGUACUAAUUUAGGAACUUUAGUAUCCUCUAUUUUUUAUUGGUGUUCAAUUUAUAAUACCCUAUUUGUUUGGGUUUACAAGUUUCACUAGUUUCUAUUGACUUGCUCAGUUAUAUUGAUAUAACCAAACUGAAAAAAAAUUGAAAGUGUCUUGGAAUAAAUCUAUAUAAUUGUUUACUGUUUAUAUUUUGAAAAAAGGUUAUUGUUUGAUAAAAAUGAGUUUAUCCUGGAGUCUUUUCAUCAGUUUUCACAUAUUAACAUAGUAGGACUAACUAUAUUAAAGAAUCAACUUGAUCAUAAUUUAUUUUCUGAGGUCCUUUUGAGCCAUGAGAUAUUGAAAAUAGUUAAUUAAAUCAUUGCACUGGAUAUAGAAGUUAUGAUUUAUGCCAUCAAACGAAGGUAUACUUAGAGACAUGCCAACUAUUUCUUUUUUGCACGGGAGAAAUAAACCUUGAUCGCAUGGUGCACGCAACCUAAGUGGAUGCACCACAUUAGCCGGUGCGUACAAAUAAUGUUCGUUCAGUUUUCAUCAUUAAACAACAAUGCCAUGAGUAUCAUCUCAGUUGUAUGCUACUAAAAUAUUUCUAAAUUCUGUAAUUUCUAAGUAUAUACUAACACAUUCAUGAAAACGAUGGUAGCUAGCCUGUGUAGGGUUGAUGACUAGUGGCAUAAACUAAAUUGCACAUCCUACAGUUUUUUGGUCUGAAGUUGUACAUAUUAGUUCUACUUCAUCAGAUAACGUGCAAACACAAUUAUUUUUGAACUUUGAAGUAGGUAAAAUGGUUAUGGGUCACCCACACAUAUUCCUCAUAUGUACACAUGAGUAACAAUCACAUGUUUGUAGUCCCAUUCAGUUGGGACAUAUGAGAAUUUGACCCAUAGCCUCCAUAUUUGAGCUAACUUCGUAUUAGAACAAGUACAACUUUACACUGGCUGAUCCCACUACAGUUUCUUCCAUGUAAGAGGUUGAAUAGAAUCUGUAGAUAUGCCUGCCAUGGAGAAAUGCUUACUCUAUGUAUAUGUAGAUAUGUCUGCAUGAUGAUUCCUUUCAGCAUUUUAAAAAUAUUUUACAUCACAUAUGGCAGAACUAUGUUAUAUGUGUUCUGGGCAUAUGUCAUGAAUACUCUUGUGCUUCUCUUGGCUGCCAAUCUCCCUAUGAGCUUCGAAUAACUCGAGCUGACUGCACUUUCUACCAAAUUCUUGUGUAAUAUUUUCAGGUAAUCAGCCACCUAGUAUUCAUGGAUGUGAUGACUUUGGAGUGUUAUGGAGCAUUUGGUUGACUGCAGUAUUUUGGAUCAGCCAACUUAAUUGUAAUCAUGAAUCUUAUGUGUGUUCUGGACCAUUUGGUGUUCAAGUGAUAUGGAGUAGAAAUCCCGUGGAUGUGACUUAAGUGUUUGGACCAUUUAUAGUUUGAACUCUUUUAGACCAUCAAAUAAGGGUCCUUUUAUGUGACUUGUGUUUUCUAGAUGUUUGCCAAGAUGGCCAAACUUUGCUUUGUCAAGGUUGACUUGAGUUUGAAUCUGUGAUCAAUGAUUGUGCAA